rnacentral:rRNA from 1 species
AGGGGGCUAGCGUUGCUCGGAAUCACUGGGCGUAAAGGGUGCGUAGGCGGCUCUUUACGUCAGGGGUGAAAUCCUGGAGCUCAACUCCAGAACUGCCUUUGAUACUGAAUAUCUUGAGUUCGGGAGAGGUGAGUGGAACUGCGAGUGUAGAGGUGAAAUUCGUAGAUAUUCGCAAGAACACCAGUGGCGAAGGCGGCUUACUGGUCCGGUACUGACGCUGAGGUGCGAAAGCGUGGGGAGCAAACAGG